AGGAGGAACAGCCCCAGUGGUGGGGCAGCUCUGGAGCCCUGGAUUCAGCUCCGGCAGGAACUCCGUCUGCAGGGCCUGGAGGCUCCGGGGCGGG
rnacentral:pre_miRNA from 1 species